rnacentral:rRNA from 1 species
UAAGGAAUAUUGGUCAAUGGACGCAAGUCUGAACCAGCCAUGCCGCGUGCAGGAUGACUGCCCUAUGGGUUGUAAACUGCUUUUAUACGGGAAGAAACCCCUCUACGUGUAGAGGGCUGACGGUACCGUAAGAAUAAGGAUCGGCUAACUCCGUGCCAGCAGCCGCGGUAAUACGGAGGAUCCAAGCGUUAUCCGGAUUUAUUGGGUUUAAAGGGUGCGUAGGCGGAUUAUUAAGUCAGUGGUGAAAGCCUGCAGCUUAACUGCAGAAUUGCCGUUGAUACUGGUAAUCUUGAGUACAUUUGAAGCGGGCGGAAUGUGUCAUGUAGCGGUGAAAUGCUUAGAUAUGACACAGAACACCGAUUGCGAAGGCAGCUCGCUAAACUGUAACUGACGCUGAGGCACGAAAGCGUGGGGAGCAAACAGG